GCCAGCAGCCAUAUCACCGUGCAACUCACAACCAGCAACCCACUGAAACAUAGCAGGUGUGAGCCUGGCCAUUACCUGGAUGGGAAACACCUCCUGGGAAAACUAGGUUGCUGCUGGAA
rnacentral:rRNA from 1 species